UACGGAGGGUGCAAGCGUUAUCCGGAUUUACUGGGUUUAAAGGGUGUGUAGGCGGGCUUUUAAGUCAGUGGUGAAAUCUCCGGGCUCAACCUGGAAACUGCCAUUGAUACUAUUAGUCUUGAAUUCUGUUGAGGUAGGCGGAAUAAGUCAUGUAGCGGUGAAAUGCAUAGAUAUGACUUAGAACACCAAUUGCGAAGGCAGCUUACUAAGCAGAUAUUGACGCUGAGGCACGAAAGCGUGGGGAUCAAACAGG
rnacentral:rRNA from 1 species